ACGUGAAAUUCCGUCGGAAUCUGGGAGGACCAUCUCCUAAGGCUAAAUACUCUCUAGUGACCGAUAGUGAACCAGUACCGUGAGGGAAAGGUGAAAAGCACCCCGGAAGGGGAGUGAAAUAGAACCUGAAACCGUGUGCUUACAAGUAGUCAGAGCCCGUUAAUGGGUGAUGGCGUGCCUUUUGUAGAAUGAACCGGCGAGUUACGAUUUGAUGCAAGGUUAAGCAGUAAAUGUGGAGCCGUAGCGAAAGCGAGUCUGAAUAGGGCGUUUAGUAUUUGGUCGUAGACCCGAAACCAGGUGAUCUACCCUUGGUCAGGUUGAAGUUCAGGUAACACUGAAUGGAGGACCGAACCGACUUACGUUGAAAAGUGAGCGGAUGAACUGAGGGUAGCGGAGAAAUUCCAAUCGAACCUGGAGAUAGCUGGUUCUCUCCGAAAUAGCUUUAGGGCUAGCCUCAAGUGAUGAUUAUUGGAGGUAGAGCACUGUUUGGACGAGGGGCCCCUCUCGGGUUACCGAAUUCAGACAAACUCCGAAUGCCAAUUAAUUUAACUUGGGAGUCAGAACAUGGGUGAUAAGGUCCGUGUUCGAAAGGGAAACAGCCCAGACCACCAGCUAAGGUCCCAAAAUAUAUGUUAAGUGGAAAAGGAUGUGGCGUUGCCCAGACAACUAGGAUGUUGGCUUAGAAGCAGCCAUCAUUUAAAGAGUGCGUAAUAGCUCACUAGUCGAGUGACACUGCGCCGAAAAUGUACCGGGGCUAAACAUAUUACCGAAGCUGUGGAUUGUCCUUUGGACAAUGGUAGGAGAGCGUUCUAAGGGCGUUGAAGCAUGAUCGUAAGGACAUGUGGAGCGCUUAGAAGUGAGAAUGCCGGUGUGAGUAGCGAAAGACGGGUGAGAAUCCCGUCCACCGAUUGACUAAGGUUUCCAGAGGAAGGCUCGUCCGCUCUGGGUUAGUCGGGUCCUAAGCUGAGGCCGACAGGCGUAGGCGAUGGAUAACAGGUUGAUAUUCCUGUACCACCUAUA
rnacentral:rRNA from 1 species